GCGGGCGUGGCGGAACUGGCAGACGCGCUGGGUUUAGGUCCCAGUCCCCGAGAGGGGGUGGAGGUUCGAGUCCUCUCGCCCGCACCG
rnacentral:tRNA from 1 species